CAUCAUCUUAGUGCUCUCUCUUUCCAUGUACGUAAAAAAAAAUUGAAAUCAAUUGGGGAAAUGAUCUAAAGGAGAAUUGUUGGGUUUCUGCUCUGGCUGUAUGUUGACAACGUGUUCAAGCAACAUAUUCAAGUUUCUAGUCAGCAAGUGCUCUACCUCAUCAGAAUUCUGUCUAAUGUUCAGCAUCUAACUUUGCGCGGAUCCUUGAUAGAGGUUUAAUUUCUCUCAUUUCCUAAUUACGUUUCUUUAUUUUUAAUUUAAUUUGUUAACUAAUUAACUGCUGCUUGUUAAUCUUUGAUCCAAGGGUCUGAACUUUGUUGAAGUGAAGGAUCAACUCCCCAUGCUUCCUAAUUUGAAAUGUCUAGAGCUGGGUUUCAAUAGAUUUACCUACUGGGAUAAACCGUUGUUACCAUUUCUUAAUUGUUCCCCCGUCUUAGAAACACUUGUUUUUCCACAGGUGAGGUCAGGUCAGUUCAGUUCAGUUCAGUAGCAUUAACUUCAAUUCAGUUUAAUUCAAUUCAAUUUCGUGUAUUGACAUGUACUUGAAUUCAAUUGCGGGGAAUAAUGAGAGGGUGUGACGACACUACUGAUGAGCGGCAGAGAAGGGAGUCGCUGGAGCUGGAAACACGCUUUUGUAGAACAUCGCAAGAGAUUCCUUUGUGUUGCAGGUAUCAUCUCAAAAGAAUUGAGAUCAAAUAUUAUUAUGGAAAAGAACGAGAUUUAAAUUUGAUCCGGUUUCUACUGAGACAUGCUUUGGUUUUGGAGGAAUUGGUUGUAUUCCAGUCUCCGACGUCGAGGUUUGGGAUUGCAAAUCAGAAAACACUUGAGAGUAAAUUGAGGAGUUUACCAAGGGCCUCACUCAAUUGUUCAAUUCAAGUGCAAUUUCACCCUCAAAUGUUAGAGAAUAACCUCUCUUCUCCCUACACUGCCUAAGGUUUACAAAAAAUUAGGAUUUCUUAGGCCGGAAACUUGGCUAUUUCCUACCCUUUUUCUUUCAAUUCUGAUUUGUUUUUAUUUUUGCGUUUAAUCGCAAUAAAACUAUAUAUUUUUCAGUGUCGCAAGUACCCCGAUUGUGGGUUUGAUUUUA